rnacentral:lncRNA from 1 species
CUCAAAUUUUAGAAAGUAUUUCAUAUUUCUUAGAGAAACAAGCCGUGCUCAUUUUUUGUUUGUUUGUUUUUUGUUUUUUAAAAGGGCAGGGGGACUACAAUGCCAGGAGCCAGAGAGCUUGUCAGAGAACAGCCUGGCCAGGCAUGGUGCUCCAUCUGAGUGCCGAGUCAGAGCAUGCCCAGCCUUUGGCAUUUUCCUAUGAUCAUGGACAGCAUCAAUCUUACAGCCUGGAAUGGAAACAGGAUAAAAAGCAAGAAGGCACUGUACCUUUCCCCCACUGGCAGACAGAGAAACUCUAACUCUCCCGCCCUAUUUUCAUCCAUUUAAAUUCAUUUCCUUUCUCUCAGGUUUUCUGUAUCUUGGUUUGGAAUGAAUCUGGUACACGGCUCCUGAGUCAAGAGGUCAAGAAGACACGUGGUUUUAUGAUGCAACAAUGGGCAGCCACUCUGUUUUGUUUUGGGAACCUCAGUGACAUCACAGACUAACCCUUGUACCUUGGGACCUUGUAUGUAAGAAAACAUUGAGUCAGAAGAGAGCGUUAGUCAUAGGGCUACUGAAACACAAGGUGACGAGAACUAUUAGGCAAUUGAGUGCAUUCCCUGCAGGGCUGCUCCCACUUCUAUCUGACUUGGGUCUAGAUGACUCAAGUGAUUCCCGAGGGGAAAAUAAUCUAUGUGGAACAGCUGUCAUGAGCAGGCCUUCUGCUGCUCUUCAGCCUCAAUUUCAGCCUGCUACUUCCCGUGACAUCAUUCAGUGAUUCCUCCCUUUAAGGGGACAGUUUUCUCUUGUAUUACAGCUGUCUGCCUACGGAAGGCUCCAGAGUCCCUGACGCAUAUUUAUAUCUCCACUUCACUGAAGUCACAAGGAACAAACACACACCUGCCAUUUCCCAAAUCUCAUAAAACAUAUAAAUGGAUGAGACCAAAGAGAGGCAUGAGAUUCCAUUCUUAUGAAGGAGACAGACAGGAAAGAGGGCAAGGGAUCCUACUAAUGCAACACAGAGCUCACAAAUGCAUCCUUCCCUCGAGGCCAGAGUGGCAACAGACCAUAGAGCCACCCUUCAACUGAAGCAAGAUGCCCUUCAACUGAAGCAAGAUGCAUGGAGACUGUUUCCACUUAGGAGUCAGAUAAAAGGCCAGAGGAACCCACAUGGCUGUGCAUAAAGGCUCCAGUUGAUAAAUGGAUAAGCAACAGUGGAAACACAGGUUCACAGGAAGCACCUGGCACACAGUAACUAUUAUUAAUUUCUGCACUGGAGGCAUCAGGAAAGCCUUCACGCUAUAGGGGGCCCUUUUAAGUUAAGAAGUUGGAGAGCAAGCCUCGGGGAAAGCAAAGAGAUAACUUAGUAGAAUGGAGCAACCAUACGGGAACAGUGAGAGUCCAUGGAUCUCCCUGGGCUAAGAUCAUGUAUGGAUUUGGCAAUCUGGGGUGGAAGCCACAUGUGCUGUUAUUAAGUGGAAAUGUCUCGUGAACAUGUGGAAAGUGAUGACUGGAACUUCAGAUGAAAGUCAAAGCUGGAGAUAGGAGAUUCAGAAGUCACCCCACCAAAGAAGGAAUGGUUAAAGCUAUAAGAACUAAUGAGAUCCUAUUUAUUUGCUUAUUCAAUCAACAUAUGUAGAACUAAAUGCUAAGAAUGUAAUGAUAAAUAAGACAGAAAGGGACCUUGCCCAUAUGGUAUUUACAAUCUACUGCCAGUUCAUAAUCUCCUAAAAAAUAAUGUAGAGAACAAUAACAGAAUCAAAGAAAUCUUGAACGUCUAUAUUUAAGGGGUUGAAUGUAAAAGAAAAGGCCUUAAAGGAGGCAGAAAAAUAGCAAUGAGAAAAGUUUGGGAAUUCUAAAACAAGACAGUAUUUCAGAGGAAGAAAACGCAGGUAAUACAUGGGCAAGUUUCACACACAGAGGUGAUGCAUCCUGGUGACCAAUAUUACAAGGAAGAGAGAUGAUGACUGAGGACAGGCUGGUGGACUUGAUUUGAGGUCAACGGUAUGAGGAUAAUUUCAGCAGAGUGGUGGGAUGGAGCGAAACAGCAGGUGUGUCAAUAAUGAGUUAAGCUUUGAGAAAGGGGAGACUUCAGAUGCAGACAACUCAUUCCUGAAUCUGUGCUUCAAAAACAAGAAAAAGCCCAAGAUGUCAGGAUAUCUGCAGGGUCAAGCAAAGCAUUUUUUUCACGAUGGUAAUAGGUAAAAGAGAUUUCUCUAGCCCGCUGGUCUAAGGAUCAGACAGAGGGUGGAGGUGCUUGAUAAGGAUGGUCAUGGCAUUUUUUGCAGACUGAAAUGAUAUUUGAAAACUAAAUGCUAGCCUGUGUUACAGCUACUUACCCGCUGAGGAUCAAACGUACAUUUAUUUGCCCUAUUGCCCAACUUAUGGCUAUGCCAGUAAUGUCCUCUUUUUUUCCUUAUCAUUUCUUUUCAGCUUGUUUUCCCAAACUGUGGUGUUGCCUUGCCCUUGAGAACCCAGCUGAGGUCUAGACUGUUUCAUGGAUCACCUAAGCUUGGAGCUACAGUUGGGCUGCAAAGUUGUUCCUCUAGUGCUGAUACAAGAACAUAGCUGGUCCUCUUGUUCAUAGUGGUAAAAUAUUUUUAAAAUCUGACAUAAACACAACAUAUUAAUUACAGAAAUGAUGGAGAGAGAAUAAAGCUGGGACCCCAC